UACGUAGGGCGCAAGCGUUGUCCGGAAUUAUUGGGCGUAAAGAGCUCGUAGGCGGUUUGUCGCGUCUGCUGUGAAAUCCCGAGGCUCAACCUCGGGCUUGCAGUGGGUACGGGCAGACUAGAGUGCGGUAGGGGAGACUGGAAUUCUUGGUGUAGCGGUGGAAUGCGCAGAUAUCAGGAGGAACACCGAUGGCGAAGGCAGGUCUCUGGGCCGCAACUGACGCUGGAGGAGCGAAAGCCAUGGGGAGCGAACAGG
rnacentral:rRNA from 1 species